rnacentral:rRNA from 1 species
UACGGAGGGGGCUAGCGUUGUUCGGAAUUACUGGGCGUAAAGCGCACGUAGGCGGCUUUGUAAGUUAGAGGUGAAAGCCCGGGGCUCAACCCCGGAAUUGCCUUUAAGACUGCAUCGCUAGAAUUGUGGAGAGGUGAGUGGAAUUCCGAGUGUAGAGGUGAAAUUCGUAGAUAUCAGGAGGAACACCGAUGGCGAAGGCAGGUCUCUGGGCUGACACUGACGCUCAUGCACGAAAGCGUGGGGAGCAAACAGG